GACCGCUCCGGUGGCCUAAUGGUUAGAGCAUCCGCCUCGGAUUCGGGAUGUUGUUGGUUUGAUCCCAGGCCGAGUCG